CAGGCUUAACACAUGCAAGUCGAGCGCCCGCAAGGGGAGCGGCAGACGGGUGAGUAACGCGUGGGAAUCUACCCAUCUCUACGGAACAACUCCGGGAAACUGGAGCUAAUACCGUAUACGUCCUAAGGGAGAAAGAUUUAUCGGAGAUGGAUGAGCCCGCGUUGGAUUAGCUAGUUGGUGGGGUAAUGGCCUACCAAGGCGACGAUCCAUAGCUGGUCUGAGAGGAUGAUCAGCCACACUGGGACUGAGACACGGCCCAGACUCCUACGGGAGGCAGCAGUGGGGAAUAUUGGGACAAUGGGCGCAAGCCUGAUCCAGCCAUGCCGCGUGAGUGAUGAAGGCCCUAGGGUUGUAAAGCUCUUUCAACGGUGAAGAUAAUGACGGUAACCGUAGAAGAAGCCCCGGCUAACUUCGUG
rnacentral:rRNA from 1 species